UUAUACAUACAGCGUCUAGAUGUAUGUCGGAUGUGAGAUGCCUACAGUCUCACUCAACUGGUUAGUAAAAGAUUGUGGUUAGAGUCUCUAUUUUCUGACUCUCACUGAAGUGAUUAGUUUCAUAACAGUCUUUGCUACUAUGAGAACUAUAUUCCAUAAGAAACAAAUCUUUGCUGCUAUAAAGGCCAAAAAGGAAGCUGCAAAUCUUUCCCACAGUGCAAGUAUUCAUAGUCAGGGUUCUCCAGAGAAACAGAAUGAAUAGGAUGGGAUAUAGAUACAUACACACAUAUUAUAAGAAAUUGGCUCAUGCAAUUUUGAAAACUGAGAAUUUCAUGAUCUUCAGUUGGCAAGCUGGACACUCAGGAGAACAGGUGGUACAAUUCCAGUACAGGUCCAAACACCUGAGAACCAGGAGAGCCGAUGGUGUAAGUGCCAGUCUGAAGGCAGGGGAAAACCAAAGUCUCAGCUCAAGAAGCCAGGCAGACAAAGUUUCCGCUUACUUGGCUUUUUUGUUCUAUUCAGGUCUUUAAUUAAUUUGAUGGAGCGUACCACACUAGGGAGGACAAUCUGCUUUCAUCAGUCCACCCAUUUGUAUGUUAAUCUCAUCUAGAAACACCCUCACAGAUACACCCAGAAUAAGGACUUGACCAAAUAUCUAGGCACCCCAUGGCCCACUCAAAUGGACAAAAUUAACUAUCACAGCAUGUAACACUUACGGAAAGUUUCUAAGUAAAGGACAGCAUCUUAGUCUGUUUUCCGCUGCUAUAACAGAACACCAAAGACAGUAACUUACAAGGGAAAGAUUUUUAUUUCUUACAGUGCUGGAGGGUGGGAAGUUCAAGAGCAUGGUGCCACAUCUGACGAGGGUCAUCUCACAGUGGAAGGGCAGAAGGCAGAAGGGCAAGAGGGGGUCAGAGGGCACAAGAAAGAGAGGAAAAGGGGGCCAAACUCCCAAAUAUCUAACUCACUCCCAUGAUAAAAACAUAAUGUAUUCAUGAGGACAGAGUCCUCAUGGCCCAAUCACCUCUCAAAGGCCCCACCUCUUAAUACCUCACAAUGGCAACCAAGUUUCAACAUGUGUUUUGGAGGAGACAUUCAAACCAUGGGAAACAGAAAGUUCUUUGGAAUCUCUUAAAGGGAAAGAACAAACCUUACAACUGUGAAUGUUGCUGUACCAGUCUUCCCAUCCAGCCAAGCGGGCCUCAUGGAUGCUCUAUUGAAUUUCCUCCUCCAUGCGCCACUGUCUGGAAAGUGCUCCUGGCUUCCUUAAAGUCUGUAAUGAUGCAAACCAUCAAGAAAUACUAAAAAGUCUAGGAUGUACAUAGAAAUAAAAUGAUAAUAGUAGCAAAAAGAGCCAUACUUGCAUGAAAAAUACAAGUAAAGAAGAAGCAGCUUUGAAAUCCUUCCCCCUUCAAAUCAAACAUUAAAUGUUUAAAAUGGGAAGAGUAUGAUAAAGAGAGAAUCACACCCUGAGUCACUUCACACAGGGCCUUCUGGAGAGGCACAGGACAUCAGCAAUAUGCAUUUCUGGGAGACAAAAAUCCAUAGCCAUGUGAGGAAUAAGACAGAAGCCUGACCUUUGCCCCCCAUUGCCUUUGGAUAUCAAGGUCAGCUGGGGCUCUGCUUUGCAUCUUCCUCCCUCUGGAACCCAAGCUAAGUGAGUAGUCACUAACUGGAACAUUGCUGGCUGUUGUGACAGAGAUGGGACUGAGCUCUGAAGGGUUUGUUUCACACAGGUAAUUAAAUGGUUUUGGGUGGGAAGCGACACCCUUCUACUCAUACCUUAUUGGCCACCUAAUCACGUGGUACCACCCAAACAUAGUAGGGCCCUGAUAUGGUUUGGCUGUGUCCCCACCCAAAUCUCAUCUUGAAUUGUGGCCUCCAUAAUUCCCAUGUGUGGUGGGAGGGACCCAGUGGGAGAUAAUUAAAUCAUGGGGGCAGGUCCCUCAUACGGUUCUUGUGGUAGUGAAUAAGUCUCAUGAGAUGUAAUGGUUUUAUAAGGGGUUUUCCCUUUCACUUGGCUCUCAUUUGUCUUGCCUGCUGCCAUGUAAAACAUGGCUUUUGCUUUCUGCCAUGAUUGUGAGGCCUCCCAAGCCACGUGGAACUGUGAGUCCAUUAAACCUCUUUUCUUUAUAAACUACUCAGUCUUGGGUAUGUCUUUAUCAGCAGUGUAUAAAUGGACUAAUAUAGGCCCAGAAAUGUGAUCCUACUAUAUUCCUGGAAGAUGGAGAACAGGAUAUAUUGAGAACAAAUGAGAACCUCAGACCUGAUUUCAUGUAAUACACUUAUACACCAUCAUCCCAAAUCACCCAGGCUGUAGGCAUAUAAUUCUAGAGGAUUCAAAGAUCCCAUAUGUCUGCUGGCUCCCAGCUAGGUAAGAAUAAAGAAGUCAAGAACAUCAAAAAUGUGCCAGGCCUUCCAGUAGGCUGGUUUGCCUCCUUCGCUAGUUCUCAUGACUGCACUGUGCUGAUCCUCCUCAUACUCUUGAGUUUUCUUUUGCUUCAGUUUCUUUACUUUUUUUAUACUGUGCAGGUUGACAAAAUGCAUACCGUCAUCUCAACCCCCACACUGAUUCUCUAACUCCACUUGUUUUUCAAGACCACUGUCCAGUUCCUUUUCCCCAGCUAAGGUGUAUUUCACUAACAAUAGUCUACAAUCAUUAUUCAUUUUUUGGAGUUCCUCAGGUAUUUAGCUUGAACCACACAGUGAGCUUUCAGUGCUACACCGGCUUACAAUACUCCAUAGUGGAUUCAUGUAUGUUGCCCUGUUCUUUCAUGUAACAAUCAUGUCUUUGAAGACAGGACCUUGCCUUCUGUCCCUCUACUUGGCAAUAUAACAGUGUGAUUCACAUGGAGGCUCCCAAAUGCAGGACACUGGGAGUGGCAGUCGAGAACUGGAUGAUGGUCCUGGCUCAGACAUGAACUAGGCAUCCUUACUCUCUUCUCUUGGGUCUGGCUCCUCUGGCUCCUUUGAAAAGUGAGAUGGUUGGAACGGAAGCUCUCUCAAGUUCUAUGCAGUUAAAUAAAUGUGCGAUAGAGUGAGUUAUUGAGAAAGUAAUUGAUGCCAACCCCCCACUCCAAAUUAGAAUAAAAGAUUUGGGAGUCUGGUUAACAAACUUCUUGUUUCAGGGCAGAAGGAAAAAAGGGGAGAAGAAGGGAAGGGAAGGGAGAGAGAAAACUUACCUUCACUCAGAUACGCCCUCCAGCGGCCUAUUGUUUUGAAAGAUCUAGGCCCAGGGAAGGAAGCUUUGCUUUCCCGGUGGCAGAAAGGAAGAGAGACUGGCAUUGGGAGGAAAGAGGAGAGAACUGCCCAACCCGGAGUGUUGGAUCCCCCACAGGAGGAGCACGGGGACAGAGUGAUGAGGAUGCCCUGAUGAUGUUGUGCUUACCCCGCUUUCCUGACCUGCUUCAGCAGCAGGGUGUUGGUGCAACCUGAAGGAGGGGAAGCCUCUCCCCCAAACCCCCAUCUCCUGCCCGAGAGGAAGUCACAAUGACUGGAGUCGGACUUCUGCUGAGAAUGGGAUACUGGCUGGUUUUCUACAGAGGCCGUUGUUCCACGCUGGGAGCAAACAACAAAACAAAGAUGCCUGCAUUUCUACUCCUGGAUCUUCCAGUGCGCUGAGUGAUAAAGGUCAAGCCACUUAAGUCCUUAAUGUUUCAAUAUCCUCUGUGCAAUGAAGACCUUUAUAACUCCCAGAAUGACAGUCUGAAGUGGACUGAGAGACUAAAAGAGUCCUCAAGAGCCUCAGAUGAACAAUGCCCCUGAAUUACAAAGCUGAGUUAUUCAACAAAAUUGACAGGUAACUGAUGGUGUAUUUUCUAUAGUUAGGGAGAAAAAAUCCCCUACAACCAUGAUGAUAUAUUAGAUCAUAAGAAUCAUAAAUAUUUAAAGACAGAAUGGAAUUCAUUUAUCUUUCAGAAUGGUACCCAGGAGCAAAGAUGACUAAACUGACAUAGCAAUAGUUACACUUGGAGGUGGGGAAAAGGUGCUGCCAGGUGCCCUGAAGAGAAAAUAGAAAAAUGCCUCCAAACUAUACCCUUAGAAUGAGCUUCCAUGAUAAACACUGACAGACUGAAAUAAAAUCAUGUCACCCAAUAGGGAUAAGUAAUUUAUCAGCACUUAUUGAGGCCCCAGGAAAUGGAAAGCUUGGUCUUCACCAUCAAGCAUUAAAACAGCAGCCAUGGCUUCCAGGGCAAUGUGUUUUCCAUUCAAUGACACUUUGCUGGGCUGCCUGGAUGGGAUCAGUGAACACACAUUUGAUUGAGACAUUUUCUAGCUCAUGGCUUGUAGCCCUUCACAGCCUCUUCAUAGACUACAAUAAUUCAGCAUCCAAUUGCUAUAUGUAGACCAAGUAUCUUAUUCUGAAGACCAAAGAGUUUCAUGUCAUCCUGGUGGAUGGAACAUUCUAGGAGGAGAUGUGUGCCUUUGCUGUGGUUUCUCCUACUCUAUGCCAUGUGCCUUUGAGCAGCAGUUCCCAAAGUAUAAUGAGCAGAGAGGGUGAGGGAGUGGAGUGACAGAGAAGUAGAGGCGUGAUUUCACAGACACUGGUCUCAUGUGCAGAGUCUAGAACAUGACAAUGAUUGUGCUUUGUUCCGGUGCAAACAGAUCAUUUUCUCUUAUCUUCGUCGUGUUUGCUUUAUCAAUAGACUGUUCUCUAUGGCUUUUUCCUUCAUUCUUUAUUUUAAUGGAACUGCACUGUGACUCUUUCUCCCUCAUCCAUUCUGUCUGAAAACAUUUCCACUAGGAAGGAAAUGCAGGGUAUUUUGGAAAGGUGGGCAGAUCUUUUUAAAGUUUUAAAUUAAAAUUUUAUCUUCCUCUGAUUGGAAAGUUAAUACAUGUGCCAUAUAGAAUAUAUGGGCCAUAAAGAAAGAUUUCUCAUAAUUCCAUCAUAUAGAUAAACCACAGUUUGGCAUAUUUUCUUGUAGUUCACCUCCAGCACAUGCAGUGUUCUAGCCAAUUUCUUUUUUAGAGCUGAAAUGUUUAGGUUGGAACACUAUUGGAUACUUCAAUUGUUGCUGAUUAUAAAGGCUUUCUUUCUCAUGGAUAGAUUUCUAAAAACAGAAUUAGUUAAAAGAUAAGUACAUUAGUUAGGCCACUUGACAAUGCUGCCAAGUUGCUUUCUAAAGAAGCUCUAUCAAUUUAUCCUCCUGUCAACAACAUAUGGGCAGUAUCUAACUCACAUUCUUUUGCUUUGCAUGAGGUUGAAUAAUUUUUCAUCUAUGUAUUUGUUUUUAAUGCAUGUAGGUAUGUGUGUAUGUAUAAACAAAUUGUUGAUAUAGUUUUAUCUUUGAGUAUUAAUGCUUUUCUUACUUCUCUGUAAGAGCUUUUCAUAAAUUUUCAUAGCCAAGAGGCCAGGGAGUUUUCUCAUCCCUGGUUCUACCUCCCACACUGGCAUACUUGCUCAGUGCAAAAGCCAGUACUGCAUCCCUGGAAGUGAUUAGAAACAGUUCCAGUUCCCUUCUUCGCAAAUUCAAGGAAGAAAUAUUCACUAAAAUAAUCUAGUUGCCCAUGGCAACUCUUGUACCUGCAGGCUUUCCAUAAACUUUGCGUGUAGGGAUGACAAGGCCCUGACUGGGGAACUGUCCAAGGUGACUGGGGAACUGUCCAAGGUGACUGGGGAACUGUCCAAGGUGACUGGGGAACUGUCCAAGGUGACUGGGGAACUGUCCAAGGUACCUGAGGAAAGCUGUGCCUUUGCCUUCUUUACUCGGUGGAAUUUGGAGUCCUGGAUCCCGGAAUGAAAACUGUGUUUUAAAAUAUACAGCUUUAUCUCAUGCUGGGUUUUGGAAUCUGUUAUGAUUGUAGAAUAUUAAUAAUAACGUCUAGUUUUUAGGUGCAUUUCAAUCCUUUUAAACAUGUACUACAAUUAUCUACAUUUUACAUAUGAGAAAAGUGAGUUCUAUAGAGGAUGAGUGAUUUGUCUAAGGCCUCAGAAUGAAAGACUUUGAGCCCUGUAUUUACUCUAAAACCACCUUAAUAAAAAAUAUUUGAAACUAUAAAAAGCAAAGGAACUGAAAAGAAUAUUUUUAUCAUGAGUACAGAAAUCAUGAUCUCAUCUUUUGAGUCAUGAGUACAGAAAUAUGAAUUAUAUAAAAUUCCCAUACUCAGCUCUGCCUUUCAUUGUAAUGCAAUGAGCCAGUAUUGCGGCAAUUCAAAUUCAUUUGUACAAAGUUUGCAGUUAUAUUUGAACAACACUGGAUUUGAUCUGGGAAUUCUGUGCUCCAAACCAAGUAAUGGAGUCAUGUUGUAAAUUUAACACUUAAUUUGGGAGUUUACAGAAAUGAUUUUUGGUUUUUUCACUUUGCCACCUCUUUAUUUCUUCCCUUUUUGCCCCUUCAAGCUGGUAAUGAAUGAGGUAACCUUUCUUCCCAAAAGUUGACUGUCCUUCUGAUUCAGUAUUUUUUUGGGGAAGGGAGAUAAUUAUUUUCACGGUAAAGACUUUCUCUUAUAGUCCUUCCUGAGAUAAAGCUCUAGUAUUAAUGUCAACAAGUGAAUUAUGUGCUCAAUCUGGCUUCUGAAAUAUAAAUUUGAGAGAGAGAAAAAUUUACCUGAAUAAAACUUAGUAUUGAUUGUAACUGCCAGCAUUAUUUUUAGCCAAUAUCUACUGCAUUUUGAGCAUUGUAAUAAAAACCCAACAGUAGAUGAGUCUCUAUGUUGUCAAGUGAAGCAGUAAACACCUGUUUUCUCUGCCCACUCAAUGAUACCUAUGAUAACAGGGAAAUGGCAAGAGAAAAAAGGAUAAUCCAUAAAUCAGAUAAUCGUCUCAUAAAUAAUUGAGAGGUCAUGUUAUAGCAGAACAACUUAGUGAGGCAAAUAUUUAAGAGAUCAACUAAAGUCAGAUUCUGUUUAAGUUUUUCAUUCCUUGUUGUUAACUAGCCAUGUGACCUUAGGCAAACACAAUCAGCUCUCUGGAUCUGUUUCUCGUGUGCCAAAUAGGUUACAGCAGAUGCUAUUUAAGCACUGGCAUUUCUGGAUUUUAAACCUUUACAGCACCCCCUGCUUGGUCCUUUAAAAUCAUGGGCCCCCCAUCAGAAUUAGCUGAUGCUAAUUUUCUUCAAGCAAUAGUAGACAAGACACAGUAGCAAUUGAUUUGAAAACACUCCAAACAAGUGUUAUCUCAGCUCAAAUGACCUUUCCAGACCCAAAAUAACAUAAAUGGUAAUCCUGUGUGUCAGAAGAAUAAAUUAGUUUAUUAAAAAGUAUAAUCUAAUUGCUUUUAUUUGUAUUCCCCUUG